rnacentral:tRNA from 1 species
GGCCGCAUAGUCGAGUGGUUAUGACGGGAGCCUUUCAAGCUUCAGGUGUCGGGUUCAAUUCCCACUGCGGUCA